rnacentral:misc_RNA from 1 species
CAAACCUCAAGCUUAGCUUGGUCUUGGGCUCUGCCGGCAACGGCUGGCCUUAAAAACAGUGGCGGUGCCAUCGAGCUCUACGUGUAGUAAUUAAACCCUCGCGUGUGAGUUCCGGUGGAAACUUGCCAGUAACCCCCUAUUUUCUAU